rnacentral:rRNA from 1 species
GAUGAACGCUGGCGGCGUGCCUAAUACAUGCAAGUCGAGCGAACGGACGAGAAGCUUGCUUCUCUGAUGUUAGCGGCGGACGGGUGAGUAACACGUGGAUAACCUACCUAUAAGACUGGGAUAACUUCGGGAAACCGGAGCUAAUACCGGAUGAUAUUUUGAACCGCAUGGUUCAAAAGUGAAAGACGGUCUUGCUGUCACUUAUAGAUGUAUCCGCGCUGCAUUGGCUAGUUGGUAAGGUAACGGCUUACCAAGGCAACGAUGCAUAGCCGACCUGAGAGGGUGAUCGGCCACACUGGAACUGAGACACGGUCCAGACUCCUACGGGAGGCAGCAGUAGGGAAUCUUCCGCAAUGGGCGAAAGCCUGACGGAGCAACGCCGCGUGAGUGAUGAAGGUCUUCGGAUCGUAAAACUCUGUUAUUAGGGAAGAACAUAUGUGCAAGUAACUGUGCACAUCUUGACGGUACCUAAUCAGAAAGCCACGGCUAACUACGUG